CGAAUGCUGACAUAAGUAACGAUAAAGCGGGUGAAAAGCCCGCUCGCCGGAAGACCAAGGGUUCCUGUCCAACGUUAAUCGGGGCAGGGUGAGUCGACCCCUAAGGCGAGGCCGAAAGGCGUAGUCGAUGGGAAACAGGUUAAUAUUCCUGUACUUGGUGUUACUGCGAAGGGGGGACGGAGAAGGCUAUGUUGGCCGGGCGACGGUUGUCCCGGUUUAAGCGUGUAGGCUGGUUUUCCAGGCAAAUCCGGAAAAUCAAGGCUGAGGCGUGAUGACGAGGCACUACGGUGCUGAAGCAACAAAUGCCCUGCUUCCAGGAAAAGCCUCUAAGCAUCAGGUAACAUCAAAUCGUACCCCAAACCGACACAGGUGGUCAGGUAGAGAAUACCAAGGCGCUUGAGAGAACUCGGGUGAAGGAACUAGGCAAAAUGGUGCCGUAACUUCGGGAGAAGGCACGCUGAUAUGUAGGUGAAGUCCCUCGCGGAUGGAGCUGAAAUCAGUCGAAGAUACCAGCUGGCUGCAACUGUUUAUUAAAAACACAGCACUGUGCAAACACGAAAGUGGACGUAUACGGUGUGACGCCUGCCCGGUGCCGGAAGGUUAAUUGAUGGGGUUAGCCGCAAGGCGAAGCUCUUGAUCGAAGCCCCGGUAAACGGCGGCCGUAACUAUAACGGUCCUAAGGUAGCGAAAUUCCUUGUCGGGUAAGUUCCGACCUGCACGAAUGGCGUAAUGAUGGCCAGGCUGUCUCCACCCGAGACUCAGUGAAAUUGAACUCGCUGUGAAGAUGCAGUGUACCCGCGGCAAGACGGAAAGACCCCGUGAACCUUUACUAUAGCUUGACACUGAACAUUGAGCCUUGAUGUGUAGGAUAGGUGGGAGGCUUAGAAGUGUGGACGCCAGUCUGCAUGGAGCCGACCUUGAAAUACCACCCUUUAAUGUUUGAUGUUCUAACGUUGACCCGUAAUCCGGGUUGCGGACAGUGUCUGGUGGGUAGUUUGACUGGGGCGGUCUCCUCCUAAAGAGUAACGGAGGAGCACGAAGGUUGGCUAAUCCUGGUCGGACAUCAGGAGGUUAGUGCAAUGGCAUAAGCCAGCUUGACUGCGAGCGUGACGGCGCGAGCAGGUGCGAAAGCAGGUCAUAGUGAUCCGGUGGUUCUGAAUGGAAGGGCCAUCGCUCAACGGAUAAAAGGUACUCCGGGGAUAACAGGCUGAUACCGCCCAAGAGUUCAUAUCGACGGCGGUGUUUGGCACCUCGAUGUCGGCUCAUCACAUCCUGGGGCUGAAGUAGGUCCCAAGGGUAUGGCUGUUCGCCAUUUAAAGUGGUACGCGAGCUGGGUUUAGAACGUCGUGAGACAGUUCGGUCCCUAUCUGCCGUGGGCGCUGGAGAACUGAGGGGGGCUGCUCCUAGUACGAGAGGACCGGAGUGGACGCAUCACUGGUGUUCGGGUUGUCAUGCCAAUGGCACUGCCCGGUAGCUAAAUGCGGAAGAGAUAAGUGCUGAAAGCAUCUAAGCACGAAACUUGCC
rnacentral:rRNA from 1 species